rnacentral:rRNA from 1 species
AUUGAACGCUGGCGGCAGGCCUAACACAUGCAAGUCGAACGCGUGGCGGACGGGUGAGUAGUGUCUGGGAAACUGCCUGAUGGAGGGGGAUAACUACUGGAAACUGUAGCUAAUACCGCAUACCCUCGGUUGUGCCUAGAUGGGAUUAGCUAGUAGGUGGGGUAACGGCUCACCUAGGCGACGCUCCCUAGCUGGUCUGAGAGGAUGACCAGCCACACUGGAACUGAGACACGGUCCAGACUCCUACGGGAGGCAGCAGUGGGGAAUAUUGCACAAUGGGCGCAAGCCUGAUGCAGCCAUGCCGCGUGUAUGAAGAAGGCCUUCGGGUUGUAAAGUACUUUCAGCGGGGAGGCGUUACCCGCAGAAGAAGCACCGGCUAACUCCGUGCCAGCAGCCGCGGUAAUUC